GGCUCAGGACGAACGCGGGCGGCGUGCCUAACACAUGCAAGUCAAGGGGUAGCAAUACCACUGGCGCACGGGUGAGUAACGCGUAGAUUAUCUGCCCCUAUCCCCGGAAUAACGCUGAGAAAUUGGUGCUAAAAACGGAUGAGGCAGUUUACUGUCAAAGGUAACGGAUAGGGAUGAGUCUGCGUCUGAUUAGCUAGUUGGUAAGGUAAUGGCUUACCAAGGCGACGAUCAGUAGCUGGUCUGAGAGGACGAUCAGCCACACUGGAACUGAGACACGGUCCAGACUCCUACGGGAGGCAGCAGUGAGGAAUUUUGCACAAUGGGGGAAACCCUGAUGCAGCGACGCCGUGUGAGGGAUGAAGGGGCUUUGCCUUGUAAACCUCUGUCGGGGGAGAAAAAAAGUACGGUCACCGUACUGGGAUUGUAUCCCCAAAGGAAGGGUCGGCUAACUACGUGCCAGCAGCCGCGGUAAUACGUAGGACCCGGGCGUUGUCCGGAUUUACUGGGUGUAAAGGGUGCGCAGGCGGAUCUGUGCGUCGGAGGUUAAAUACCCGGGCUCAACCCGGGAAAUGCCUUCGAUACGGCGGAUCUUGAGUAUGAGAGAGGAGGGUAGAAUUCCUGGUGUAGCGGUGGAAUGCGUAGAUAUCAGGAGGAAUACCAGUGGCGAAGGCGGCCCUCUGGCUCAUUACUGACGCUCAGGCACGAAAGCGUGGGUAGCAAACAGGAUUAGAUACCCUGGUAGUCCACGCCCUAAACGAUGUAUGCUUGGUGUUGGAGCUUAUGCUUCAGUGCCGGAGGAAACCCGUUAAGCAUACCACCUGGGGAGUACGAUCGCAAGGGUGAAACUCCAAGGA
rnacentral:rRNA from 1 species